UACGGGGGGAGCAAGCGUUGUUCGGAUUUACUGGGCGUAAAGGGCGCGUAGGCGGCCAGCACAAGUCAGUUGUGAAAUCUCCGAGCUUAACUCGGAAAGGUCAACUGAUACUGUGCGGCUAGAGUGCGGAAGGGGCAACUGGAAUUCUUGGUGUAGCGGUGAAAUGCGUAGGUAUCAAGAGGAACACCUGCGGCGAAGGCGGGUUGCUGGGCCGACACUGACGCUGAUGCGCGAAAGCCAGGGGAGCGAACGGG
rnacentral:rRNA from 1 species